UGUAGUUUCAUGCGUUCUACC
rnacentral:siRNA from 1 species